AUUGAACGCUGGCGGCAGGCUUAACACAUGCAAGUCGAGCGGGGUGAUGGUGCUUGCACUAUCACUUAGCGGCGGACGGGUGAGUAAUGCAUAGGAAUCUGCCUAUUAGUGGGGGACAACAUCUCGAAAGGGAUGCUAAUACCGCAUACGUCCUACGGGAGAAAGCAGGGGAUCACUUGUGACCUUGCGCUAAGAGAUGAGCCUAAGUCGGAUUAGCUAGUUGGUGGGGUAAAGGCCUACCAAGGCGACGAUCUGUAGCGGGUCUGAGAGGAUGAUCCGCCACACUGGGACUGAGACACGGCCCAGACUCCUACGGGAGGCAGCAGUGGGGAAUAUUGGACAAUGGGGGGAACCCUGAUCCAGCCAUGCCGCGUGUGUGAAGAAGGCCUUAUGGUUGUAAAGCACUUUAAGCGAGGAGGAGGCUCUUUUGGUUAAUACCCAAGAUGAGUGGACGUUACUCGCAGAAUAAGCACCGGCUAACUCUGUGCCAGCAGCCGCCGUAA
rnacentral:rRNA from 1 species